CACGUAGGGUGCGAGCGUUGUCCGGAAUUAUUGGGCGUAAAGAGCUCGUAGGCGGUGUGUCGCGUCGGCCGUGAAAACCUGCAGCUUAACUGUGGGCGUGCGGUCGAUACGGGGCAUCACUGGAGUUCGGCAGGGGAGACUGGAAUUCCUGGUGUAGCGGUGAAAUGCGCAGAUAUCAGGAGGAACACCGGUGGCGAAGGCAGCUCUCUGGGACGGUACUGACGCUGAGACGCGAAAGCGUGGGGAGCAAACAGG
rnacentral:rRNA from 1 species